GCGCUUCGGCGUCACUGUAGGAUGGACCCGCGGUGCAUUAGCUAGUUGGUGAGGUAACGGCUCACCAAGGCAACGAUGCAUAGCCGACCUGAGAGGGUGAUCGGCCACAUUGGGACUGAGACACGGCCCAAACUCCUACGGGAGGCAGCAGUAGGGAAUCUUCCACAAUGGACGAAAGUCUGAUGGAGCAACGCCGCGUGAGUGAUGAAGGUUUUCGGAUCGUAAAACUCUGUUGUAAGGGAAGAACAAGUACGUUAGGAAAUGAACGUACAUUGACGGUACCUUAUUAGAAAGCCA
rnacentral:rRNA from 1 species